GAAGGACUCGCAGGCUAAAACAGGCUUUACAUUAGGAAGCUCAAAAUCAGCAGUGAGGCAAGGACCUCAGCAAGCGGCUGGAUGAAGAUUGUUCUGAAGGAGAACUACAGUUUUCCAUUUGAGGUUUUACUGCACAAUGGAAGAUUCUUGCCUCUUCUACCUCAGAAAUGAAUGAAGCAAGUUCAGAAUGAAGUUCUUUUCCCUGCUGGGAGAAAUCAUUUUUUCUGUGGAACUCCAAAACGUGGAUUUUGGCCAGACUUCAUGAGACGAGGCUGACACUGACAGUGCCGCCGGCUCCUUCAAAGAGUUCGGUCGUUUCUUAGGUGCACUGGAAUGUUAUACAUCGCUACAAAACCCUGUACUGUGAGAAUAUCUUAUCAAAACCUAUCAGUAAAACCAAAGCAUUUCACAGAUUUCAGAGACUCCAACUUGGGAAAGAGAAUUCCUAGGAGGGUGUACGGAAGAGCUGUGCCAUGGGUGAGCAGCAAGACUGGUGCCUCUGGAAGGAGCUGGAGGCACUGCACAUCCCAGAGCAGCAGUGUGACACAUGCAGCACGUGCAGCAGUUACAUCCAAUACGUCUGGGGAGCACUGAACACCUGCAGUGGGGACACGGCAAUGGUGACAGACGUGCAGCAGCUCCGAUGCAUAUAAAAAAUCCUAGUCGCUGUGCAAACACUGUGCAGUUAAAGAAGGGUGGCUUCUCUCCAGUGUUCUUGAACAAAGCACGUGAUGGCGUUGUGCUGUGCAAGCAUGACUAAGGCCAGUACUUUCAGAACUGACGAGACUUAUUGGCGUGAAGGAUCUCUUUGCAGUCAGCAUACAUUGAACACAGACUUUGCAUCAUUUUCUUUAUGUGCAAGCGAGACAGAGCUGGACAGAGCUGUACUGCUGAACCCUUCAGGGCUGUUUAGAUCCUAGAAAUCUGGGAGAAACAGAGAAUAAACCUUAAGCCCAUCCAGAGAAGCAAGCAGAAAACUUUUUCUUUGUGUGCUUUUUUUUCUUCUCACCAGAAAGAAAACACUUCCUGAAGCAUUCAAACAGUAGCCCAACUAAAUUUUAAUACUUUUUUUUCCAGGAAAUUUUUUUUCUGAUAUCCAGAAGUGUUUUUUCAAAGUAGAAUCCAGGCUAAUGCAAGGACAGGAACUGUGGAUUUUGAAUAAUGGGGUAAUUGAAAUAAUCUGGGACACAAUGGGAGUCUGAUUCAGACAUAAGUAAUUGAAAGUUAGUGCUGGAGAGCACUUCCCUGUGCUUCAGGAAAGUUAAACAGCCAGGUGAAGCAUAGGUCUGAACAAGCGUUAACUCCUCUGCGGUGUGUCAGCUGAUGAGCAUCCUCCCUCCAGACCUCCUGGCUGUGUGUCCUGCCUUGCCCUUUUCACCACUAAAUCAGAGAAGAAUAAUCCAGUGUAAUUUGUUAAGCCAUUUUUCUGUAAAUCUCUCGUGCAUUGGCUAUAAUUCUAUCAUAAAUUCACAGAAGGAAAAAAAAAAAAAAAGAAACAAAGAAAAAACAAACCAAAAAACCCAAACAAACAACCCAGUGAGAGGCUGAUGGCUGAAAAAUCCAGAAGGGAAGUGGAGUGAAGAUGAGAAUGUGGAAAGCAUGGAGGUUACUUCAGGAGGAGACUGUGAAUGAAGGUGUUCAAAGGGCAACCUUAGUCAGCAGUAAUAGGAGUUAUUUAUAAAAAAAACCCACCCUACCAAACAUUAACAGAUCUAGUCACAUUCACGUGAGGGCAGAAGCAGGGAGUCAGGAGGUUAACUGGUGUGCACCCCUUGGCUCUUCUUACAUUUUGCAUGUAAACCAGUGCAUCUUGGCAGGAAGCCUACUGUUAGGAUUUUAAUUCAGCUGUGCCAGCAAGAGCAGCCGUUUCCAUACCCUGGUGCUGUUCAUCCCAGUUUCAAGGCUCAUAACCCUACUUACGUAAAUGAGCUUCAUCGGGUUCAUGCUGUCGGCGGUUAGACGUGGAGGCCCUGCUUCUUGGGCAACUGUUGUGCUGAAGGGACUCUUCAAAAAGUGUUGUCUUUCUGUAUCUCAUGAAAUGUAAUCUCGGAAGCAUGGUUUCAGCAAACUCAGGGCUGCUACGCUGCACACUGGCUCCCCUGCCCACGAUUUACAGCACAGACAAUUCAUUCACGAUUUACACAAGUCAAAUUACUAAUCAAAACCAUAAUGACUUAAAAACGGAGCAGUGCCUGAGGUGGCUGGAGGAGUGCUGGCUCGCUGCUGUGCAGUGCUUCCUGCCCGGGCAUGACACCAAGGGGCAUCGGCUGUCAGCGGGUGCUGGGGAGCUGGGGGGCUGCUGGGGGGGCACCUCCAAGGCAGCCAGGCUAGCACAGGACGCUUACACUAUAGCUUGUACUAACUCUUAAUUCAAAAAUUGUUGAAAGUCAAAUCUCCUCCUAGUUCUGAGUAUGAGCCAAUUUUUUUUCUAUGCGAACUUAAUCGUUUCUCGCUCGUGUUUAGAGUAGAUUGAGUUGAAGUUGUACUUUAACGUAAGUUAAAGUACUGAUGAUGCUUUUUCCCCUCCUCCUUUCUCUUUUUCCCAGUAGUAAAGGCUUGAGGCUGUCGGUCAGCAAGGGGACAGAGCUGCAGGCUCACGGGGAAGCAAGCUGCUCGCCCUUUCCACGCCUCGGCUGUGCGGGGUCAUAGUGCCUCGCUGCGUCCCGUGUUUUCUCAUCUCAGUGUAGCGCCUCUUGAAACUCUUCAGAAUAACAUCCAACAGAUUGGGAAACACUAAUCCAGUAAAUAAAAACCAGGUCACACCUCAAAAUCAUGUGCAAAUUCAAUGCAAGCUGCUUUCUAAAGUAAGAGGCUGUGAUAGUCUGUUAUUUGUGUAAUAGAGGUGUUUCCCUAAGUAAGAAUGGAUUCUAACCUGACAUUGAGUUAUAAUACGUGCAGUCACCACCGAGCAGGCGUGUAUUUUCUCUGUGUGGCUGGCAUUUGCAGAUGAACAAAACCUGCACCAGGGAAACGUUGCCAUCAGUACCCUAAAGCUUUUACUUCUCUGCAUUCAGCAACGGGCGUCACGCAGACCUAAAACUGGAGAAGUGCUUGGAACAGUUUUUGUUCCACUCUCUCCUCCUCUUUCUCAGAAAAUGCAAACGGUUAGGCAUUGAAGGUAUGUUUUGGAGAGGCUGCAUUUUGAUGCGUGAAACCUUUAGCUUGUCUUGGGUUUUUCCACUUUAUUUAUGAAGGCAAGGCAGAGCAGUAGUUUAAAGAUAAACAGGAUUAGAGACUGUCUACCCCAAAAACUGAUUUGCAGAGAUCUCUUCUGUAAUUCUGACUAGUAUUACUACAUACUAGAUAGGCUAUCAAAAACUGGCAUGAACAGAAGUUUGCUAAUCUAACAGAUUUUAUUAUAAAUUAAGAAAAAUUAAGAAAAAAAUAUUAUGCAAGGAUUUUUGUUUAAAGCAGUUUUUCAGAGGAGCAUAGUGUUUGCUCAGCAUGUUUACUGAGCCACCGAAAGCAGUUAAAUAUAGAUACCUAACUCUUCUUUGCAUAGAUACCUAAUUCUUUUUUCCUUUCCUCUUAUAAUACUUUACAAUUAAGCUCUUACUUUUGUCAGUUUUUCUAUUUCUUGAAUAUGGGAGCAACAGUAUCACAUGAUGAAAAAUAUGCCAAAGGAGAAACGGAGGGGUUGGGAAUGCAAUGGAAGUAUGGAUUUAUUUUUAAAAAGAGGAAAAAAAAAAAUUGGCAGAAGUUAUUGCACGUUCUUUGAGCACCGAGUACUCUGCACGUGUGUUUGUUUCCGCAGCCUUCAGGAGCCUGCCCGGCCGGGGCUGCCAGGGCGAAGGCUGUGCGGGGUCUCACCCCCCCCUGCACCCCGAUCCCCUGCAGGAGCCCAGAGAGUUUCGGAGGGCGAAAUGCAGAAGGUGGAAAGCUGCAGGCGGACAGGGACAGGCUCGGCCCUGACACGUGUAGGCACAGCUCCUGCUGGCUUGGCCAGGAGCUGCCUUCCAGUCAAAGCUGAACGAGGUCCAAAGUGUGGUGUAAGGCUGCGGCAGCGCUAGUGCAGACCUGCCGCGGGUAAGGUUAGGCUGCAAGACCGUGCUGAAGCUUUUCUGUCCUAGAAAACUGGGAGAAAGUGGGUUCUAGUUAAGUGGCCUUAGAAUAGUUCUUUAUUUUUGACAAUUGUUGGAUGUUUAUAGCGCUUCUUGUAUGAAAUAGCUGGGGUGUUAAAUCACAAAACAGUAGAACAAAGGGGGGGCGUAAAUUUAAACUGGUUAAAAGAAAGUGCUUUCCUUGUCCCAGUAAGAGAGUGUAGGGGCAGGCUGUAUCAGUUGGUCUGAUCGGGGAUUAGACAAAUGUGUGAUGACAGAUCCAUAAACGAACGGGAAUGGUUAGCAUGGGGGGAGUAUGCUAACUCAUGAUGCAGGAUUGUGACAGAAAUGUUGAAAAUAAUUCGCUCAACAACCAGGCAUAAGCCUACUGGAAAAGAGGUUUCGAUGAUCUUUCUGUUUAAAAUGAUGAAUUUUAGCUGGAAUUAUGAUAUGCACUGCAUUUCUUCCAGAAGAUGAGAUUGUAGUGGUACCACUGUAAUGUGAUAGGAAAAUGUCAUCUGAUUUCUUGCCUGCCCCCGCCACCUCCCAAGGCUUGUCAAAGCAUUAUAAAAACGUUUUCAUUUAUAGUGUGUAUUGAUAAGGAGUGCCAGAGAGUACUUGUGAUCUCAUUUUUUUCUGCUUUUCUUCACAUUUGGAAGCAAGUAUUUUUUAUUUGUUUACAAACUGCUGAGUUUAGUUCCACGUUGUUACAUAAAAAUUGGUAAAUCUGACUUGACACCUACAUUCAGUUAACCACAGGAAGUUUUUCACUCGGCAAACAUUGCAACAUUUGAAAUAUUCCUUCCUUCUUGGUAUUGAACCAAAAUUUUCUCGCAUUAAAUCUACUUUCAGUUACAUUUUCUUUAAAGGCAUCUUGUUGGCAGCUGUUACAUUAAGAAGAGAAAACAUUCAAUUCACUGCAAUUGAUCUAUAGUAAUAUCGAUUUACAAACCAAAUAACUUUCGGUUAGAGUGAAGCAAUCUCAGUUAUACAAGACAACCUUUCCAGGUGCAAGAUGUUUUCAAGUACAAAUCACCUGUAAUUUUACAAGACAAAGAGUAGAUUUUUAGAUAAUAGAUUUUUAGAUGGUAUCAGUGACUCCUAUAGAGAAACUGGUUAGAAAGUCUGCAAGAGGGGACGCAACCCUUGCAAUAAUUCUGCCUGGAUCACAGUGCUGGUCAGUGUGAGAAAGAGGUGGUUAGGCUAGAAGUCUUCAGUUCAGAAGAAAGGCAACUAGGGAUGUGACAGAGGUUACAAAACCGUUAGCGAGGUUAGAGAAAGACUAACGCUUCAGCACCUUCUAACACAAGAACUUCAGACACAUGGCAUGAGCCUGACAGAGUCAGGACAUGGACUUGAUGAGAUACGUGGUGGAGUUGUGAAGCUCAUUUCCAAAGGCUGUUACAGUGAGAGUGAAGUGAGUGCUUCAUGGAAUAGAAAUAUGCUGAGGACUGCAAAGUGUACGGAGCCACAUCUGACUCAGGAGGUUCCCUGAGAUGAAAAUAGUCACAGUUUGGAAGAGCAUUUGGAGAACGUGUUGUAUAUUUGUAAUUUGUGCCUUGCCCUUCCUCUUCCUUACCGUUUCAUAUGGCAAUGUCAAAGACAGUAUGCUAGUCUAGCUUUUGGUCUGACUUGAUUGAACUAAUCUCAGUUGUCUAAGUUAUGUCCUGAUUUGGUAAAUAAGAAAGGAUGUGACCUUGAAGUAGAUUCUUAGAAUGACUUUUUUUAUUAUUAUUAUUUUGGGGGUGGGGUGGGGUGGCUGCCAUGCAAAAAAGACUGCUGGACAUUUGAAGCAAAGAAAACAGAGUAAGGCUUCAAGUAGGUGUCACAUAGCUGGGUUGUAACCAUCUGUCUUUGUGCUUCUACUGACAGAUUCCAUGAUCAAGGACAUGGGCCCUGUGGACAGGCAGAGGAUAACUGCGUUUGCCCAGCAGGCACACAGCAGAAUUUGUCACUCGUCUGGUGAACAGACUUCAGUCAUGGGCUUAAGUCACUUUGUAGAAGUGACUCUGCUCCGUCCAGGUCUGUAUCGAGAAUCCCGUGGAAAGAAAUCGUAUAAAUGCAGGAGGCAAAGAAUUUUCUCUCCCAUCCUUCCCCAAAUGGGAAGCGGGCUCACUGCUCCAGGAAUGGCACAAGAGGGAUUAGAAAGGGCAUGGAAGCAGGUCUGGAUUUGGAAGCAGCACCGCUUUGAAUGGUUGCUGCUUUUUGGGCUAAUUAGGGACAGCAACUGACUGACAUAGUUCAUUUGUGGAAAGAAAAGGGGUUGAGCAAGGUAAUUAGGAAAUGCUGGCCUAGGCAGGUCUCUGCGAUAGCAGCAAAGAGGAAAAACUACUUUGCCCUUCACUUGGCAGCCGACAGCACUGCUGCACUGACGCAGCUGUUAAGGAUAAAUGACUAUUACAUUUUUUUACCACUAACUUGACUCUUCCAAGAAACCUGGAAAAAGCAAAAUUAGCACAUUACCAUGAUAUUUUGGGGCCUCCUACUCUAUUGAAGCAAAGAUUAUUGACUCAGUUUCCAUCUGGACUGGACUCUCAAGUGGAGUGCGUAGGGAUACUGGUAGGACAGUACUUCUGCAGUACGUCCCUGUUUGAAACUUUUUACCUGACUGAGAUGCUUGGGCAUGCCAAAAAAAGGCUUUUUUUUUUUUUUUUUUUUUCCUUGGCAGAAGUUGCUGGCCUAUGUUUAAAAGAACUAUUCUGGAGCUUGGAAUUUUAAUUAUUUUGAAUCAAGUUUCGGUUAAAUUAUUGCUAUUAAAUAAAGUAUUCGUUUUCUGGAAAAGACAUUAACUGGCUGGGAAUAAUCCUGCUAGACAGUCUAUUUACUUCAGUCUAAAUCUGUUGCUGCUAGGCUUUGGCUUUUUUUUCCUAAUACUAGGAGGAGGGGUACAUAAAUCAAAAUUUUAUUCUGAACUAAUUGCCUUGUUCUGAAUCGCAUAAAACGUUUGAUCUUUUUCAUUAUAAUAUUUCAUGACAGAAGGAUCAUUAAUAUUGGAGAUAAUCUGAAAUGCAAAAGUAUUUGUUGCACUGUAGAUGGAAGCUUCUCUUUGCACACGAUUUUACUUUCCUUGUUUCACAGCUAAAACUAGUAUGUUGUAGACUGGAUAUGAUGUAGCAGCAAUAUGGCCACAAGUGAUGCUACGUUGCACCCCAUUUGACUGAAGAAAUAGAGAAUUAAGGUAGCUUCAGCCCCAUCAUCUCUAAUAAAUGUUAUUUAUAUCUGUUCUUUGAAUUUCCACAGGCCUUUUCACUUCACACUAGCUCUGUUUGCUUCUCGGGAUGGAAAGUCUGUCUGAAUUAGGUGCAGUCCCCUGAAACCACAGGCUCCCCUGUAGGAGAAACUGUCAAGGAGGAUUCCCCAGGACUUGCACUUUCUGUUUAAUUCCUACAGGCCACAAAAAUCUCCAUUACCUUGAAACAACACAUAACCAUUUGUACAAAAGAACCGAAUUACCAAAGUCUGCAGUGUGUGACAGGAAGGGCACCACCACGUCUCCACUCCUUCAGGAGUUUAUGGUGCAAUACAUUAUGAUUUUUUUUCACUAAAGAAACACUAAAGUUUAUAGCAGUAUUUCUAGCCCUACCCAGAAUGUGAAAUGAGUGGAGUUCCCAGAAUCCUAUUAGAAUUUGUAUCCAGGUUCUGGAUGUCUCUCCCUAUUUUUCCAAAAAUAUCUCUUAAUUUCUUAAACACAAUGUUCUUAACUGAGUUGAGAAGAUUAUUCAAUAUAAUCCUUUUCUUAUGGUCUUUCAGGCACUACAAAGUUACUUGCUUUAGGGCUGGAUGACUGGUGAGGCUAAGGUGUGGUUUGCAGUUGGGAUUCUUUCAUUUUUUAUUUUCCUUCUUGAGAAUCUGCCUAGGUUUCUUAUGCAAAAGUUUUAUUUUUCAUUUUUACUGUAGAUACUGAGCCUCAGUAAAUUUUUUUUUUUUCAGAGGCUGCAUAGAGAGGUAGAAUACAGUAUAAUCAUCUCAUGCACGUUAGCGUAACUACAUGCAUGUGAAAAGUGACGGGGGAAGUGCAAAGGGAAAGAGAAAGGAGCUGACUUGAAGGUGGUAGGAAUUGGUAAAUCGGUCAAAGCAGCACUGUACACGUAAGCAUUCUGCUUGUAAAUUAAUGCUGCUCUAGCUUAUAUUUAUUUUGGUAUGUGUGUGAAAACAACUCAAAGAUCAGAAAGUUACAGAAGUAGUUCAAUAAAUGACUAAGAUACCGUGUUGGAUAUUGAAGGAAAAUUGCCUCCUCUCCUAAAAUGUCAACUGUAGGGUGAUAUGAAAUUACUACAGUCUUUACAAAACUGCAUAUAAGUUUUCAAGAUAAGUUUGUGGGGUUUGUUUUUUUGGUUUGGGUUUCUUUUUUUUUCUGUGUGGUGAAAACAGGAUAUCCUGAUCCAGCAGAAAUGAAACAGGCCAAAUGUGAAUUUUAUUAGCCACCAGGUUUUGUCUUGAAAAGAAUACAAGGGCUAAGAAAAAUUAACCAGAGACAUCUGCAUUUAAUUGAAAUUUAUGACAGCAAAAUGGUCUCUUAUAUUACAGCAGAUAGUUAAAAAUAAAUUCCUUUUUAUCACCCUAUGUUUGAAUUGAACGUGCUCAGAGCCAUUACAAAUGCAUUCUUGGAAAUGAGGGGUGACUGGGUGACAGUUUUCUUGUAAUCAUGGCUAAUUUUUUUUCUAGUGAAUGUGAUUAAAAGACUUCCAGGUAUUGUGCAGCAUCACCUGUUCCUCAACAAAAAGCAGCACUUCUGCCUUGCUGGAGAUUUCAAACAAUUAUGCAGCCAUACAAACUGCUUAUCUACGAGCUCAACAGAAUGCGCUGAAAUUUUAAUAAUGCAUAAUAAAAGGAAAAUUCUGCCCCCUUCAUAAUAUUACCAAGCUAUUUGUCUCCAGGUAAGUUUACCAAACCCUAAGUCAUCCUGUGCACAGACUGGCCAUAAAAAUAAAUUACACAAGUUACAACAGAACCCUUCGUGUUGUGUCAGCGUAGCCUCUCUGUAGCUUAGGCCUUAGCCUUCCCUCCCAUUUGCCUUGGACUUCCAAGUAGUUUGUAUAUAUUUUGUAAGUGACUUCCAACUGUACUCCUAAGAAAAACUGAGUGAUUUGAUGAUUUGACAUAUCAAGGUUCUUUAAUAAGUUUUGUUUAAAUUUCUAAAGCUCAUCUGUAUGAGAAGUGUGGCUAUAAAAGAAAACUAUUCUGCUGAAGUUGUUUAAAAACAAAAAAAAAGGUGGAAAUAUUUCUAAAAAUGUUGCUGCUUUUACAAGCAUACUUUACAUACACUUAAUGUUUAAUCACGUCCAUACAACAGUUAUGGUGUGACUCAGCACAGGUGUAUGUUUCCUGACUGAUAAUACUUGUCAUCUACCUGCCCUACAGACGCUGGGUGUUCAAUGUGCCACUGUAAUACAACAUGAGAGAGUACAACAACAAUCAAACAAAUAACUUAUCAAAGCAAAAUUUAGGUUCUAAGGAUUCAAAACAUGAAAUCGACUGGGCCCAAAGAUACCCUUGAUCAGUUCAAGAAUUAUUCCUGUAGUUCUGCGAUCUGCUUCAAAACCUGUAUGUACGAAUCAGAUUUGAGACCGUGGCACAAGAAAUACUUAGAAGCAGAUGAUACACAUAUAAAAAUUGCCAUUGUAAAGUUUGAGAAGAUGAGCAAGUUUGCUGGCCAGUGGGUUGAUCGGUGAUCUUCUGAAAUAAGAGCUUUUAGUUUCUUUUCCCAGCUUUGAUGUGCACUAACUUUGUUAUGUUUUGAAUUUCAGCUUUGUAAAGUGCUUUCAACUUAAUAGUAAGGUGUUAUUUGUGGUUGCAUCCAUUACAAGGCGGGUACUUUCCAAACACUUAAGAAAUUCAUAAUUCAAGUGAUAAAGGAAGGAAACAGAAAAAAUUAUGAUUAAGCCAGAUCUAAGUAACACAAAUAACACACCAAGGGAAGGUCUUUAAGGAAAAUGGGGCUUGCUGACGAGACAUGGGUGACUCCAUAAGCUUGCAGUGAGAAAGUGAGUAUGAGAGCAUGGAGAUGAAGGGCAAUACACAAGGAUUCCUCACUGAAAGUGUUGGUGUCAGCUUGGCUUCAUGUGUGGCCAAACACAUCUACGUUUCAGCUCUGUACUGGCUCAAAGGAGAAAGAGGGAAUCCCAUCUGUGUCAUCUUUCUUUCCCUCCUUCCAUGGCUGACGAGCAGACCCUAGCAGUGCCUAGUGCUCUUGUCCAGGACAGGGCACUGUAGUCUGAACUGGCGGUGGGUGCUGCAAGAAGCCAAUGGAGAAGGACGCCCUGGGAGGAGGGGGAACGCUAGGUGCCGUAAUGGACACCUAGGGCUUCAACACGAAUGGAUCGCUCAUGGCAAAUCCCUCUGUCUAGUGGUGAGAACAAAGGGAUCACUUUCCAAAUGCAAGGAUUCUCUGUAAUUCUGUCAGGCAGCAUGUGACCUGUAAUUAUGUCCCUAUGAUGUUCUAUUAAUUUACACUCCUGCUUUAUUUUGCUUGUGUUCAAGCAGAUCCAUAUUAUGAUGCAAAUUUACCAGCAGAAUGAAGGCCAAGCUUCAAAUCUAGAUUCAUUAAUAAAAUACAAGCUUCCUGAAGACCAAACCUUUGCAGUUUUUCUGGGUGCAAAGUUAGGUUUCAUUUACCUGCGUGAGAAGUUUACCCCUGUACCUCUCUUCUAGAGUAGCUUCCCACUGAAUACAGUUCCCAGCGUAAGCAUGGUUCCGAUACAAACCUGCUGCUGCCAGUACGAGCUAUGUUGCAUCUAACACAUUGACUAUUGCUUCAAGUUUCUAAGUAUAGACCAUAUGGCUAUUUCCAAAUAAAAUAAACAUGAUGUUGGUC